rnacentral:rRNA from 1 species
CGCAUGUCUAGUAUAAGCAUUAUACCGUGAAACUGCGAAUGGCUCAUUAAAUCAGUUAUCGUUUAUUUGAUAGUACCUUACUACUUGGAUAACCGUGGUAAUUCUAGAGCUAAUACAUGCUAAAAACCCCAACUUCGGGAGGGGGUGUAUUUAUUAGAUAAAAAACCAAUGCCCUUCGGGGCUCUUUGGUGAUUCAUGAUAACUUAACGGAUCGCAUGGCCCUUGCGCCGGCGACGGUUCAUUCAAAUUUUCUGCCCUAUCAACUUUCGAUGGUAAGGUAUUGGCUUACCAUGGUUUCAACGGGUAACGGGGAAUUAGGGUUCGAUUCCGGAGAGGGAGCCUGAGAAACGGCUACCACAUCCAAGGAAGGCAGCAGGCGCGCAAAUUACCCAAUCCCGACACGGGGAGGUAGUGACAAUAAAUACUGAUACAGGGCUCUUUUGGGUCUUGUAAUUGGAAUGAGUACAAUUUAAACCCCUUAACGAGGAACAAUUGGAGGGCAAGUCUGGUGCCAGCAGCCGCGGUAAUUCCAGCUCCAAUAGCGUAUAUUAAAGUUGUUGCAGUUAAAAAGCUCGUAGUUGAAACUUGGGCCUGGCUGUCUGGUCCGCCUCACCGCGUGUACUGGUUCGGCCGGGCCUUUCCUUCUGGAGAGCCUCAUGCCCUUCACUGGGUGUGUUGGGGAACCAGGACUUUUACUUUGAAAAAAUUAGAGUGUUCAAAGCAGGCCUUUGCUCGAAUACGUUAGCAUGGAAUAAUAGAAUAGGACGUGCGAUCCUAUUUUGUUGGUUUCUAGGACCGCCGUAAUGAUUAAUAGGGAUAGUCGGGGGCAUCAGUAUUCAAUUGUCAGAGGUGAAAUUCUUGGAUUUAUUGAAGACUAACUACUGCGAAAGCAUUUGCCAAGGAUGUUUUCAUUAAUCAGUGAACGAAAGUUAGGGGAUCGAAGACGAUCAGAUACCGUCGUAGUCUUAACCGUAAACUAUGCCGACUAGGGAUCGGGCGAUGUUAUUAUUUUUGACUCGCUCGGCACCUUACGAGAAAUCAAAGUUUUUGGGUCUGGGG